rnacentral:rRNA from 1 species
UCGAGCGGUAGCACAGAGAGCUUGCUCUCGGGUGACGAGCGGCGGACGGGUGAGUAAUGUCUGGGAAACUGCCUGAUGGAGGGGGAUAACUACUGGAAACGGUAGCUAAUACCGCAUAAUGUCGCAAGACCAAAGUGGGGGACCUUCGGGCCUCAUGCCAUCAGAUGUGCCCAGAUGGGAUUAGCUAGUAGGUGAGGUAACGGCUCACCUAGGCGACGAUCCCUAGCUGGUCUGAGAGGAUGACCAGCCACACUGGAACUGAGACACGGUCCAGACUCCUACGGGAGGCAGCAGUGGGGAAUAUUGCACAAUGGGCGCAAGCCUGAUGCAGCCAUGCCGCGUGUGUGAAGAAGGCCUUCGGGUUGUAAAGCACUUUCAGCGGGGAGGAAGGCGUUAAGGUUAAUAACCUUGGCGAUUGACGUUACCCGCAGAAGAAGCACCGGCUAACUCCGUGCCAGCAGCCGCGGUAAUACGGAGGGUGCAAGCGUUAAUCGGAAUUACU